AGGGUGUGGAAAACAGGGCUUCCCGUCCGCUCAGCCGUACUUAAGCCACACGCCGGUGAGUUAGUAGUUGGGUGGGUGACCACCAGCGAAUCCUCACUGUUGUAUAUAU
rnacentral:rRNA from 1 species